ACUGGGUGGUGGAGGAGCAGUGAUGCUGCAGGACCACUGUGUGAGAGAGGACGCUGCAGAUAAGUGCUGAGUCGACCUUGGUGAGACUUAAAACUUAACAAGAGCUCACAGGUUGCUUCAGGAAUCCUCUCCCACUCCUCCAUGAUGACAUCAUGGAGCAGAUGGAUGUGAAGACACCUUGCGCUACCCCACCUUCAGCUUGAGGAUGCCCCACAGGUGCACAGGUCUCCAUGGUGGAGAGGGGGUCACGUGGCCCAGGUCCAUCUGUUUGCCGACACCUGGAAGUUGAUUGACGUCAUCCCGGAUCCAAUCUUCAUAUGGUUCAGAUGGAAAAACCACUGCAUGAUGAUCCGUCAUGAUUGGAUUGGACUGUAAUCAUCGAGCACAUCAGAAAUGUACUGGGGAGCCAAACCAUUAAGUGCUUCAAAGACUAUUAGUAGAAUUUUUAAAUUGUUUCUGUAUAGCACUGGGAGCCACUGAAGUGAGUUAAGUACUGGAGUAAUACAGCAUGUUUGACUUGAGCUGAAGCCUUGUGAUUGCUUUGUUGUUGUUGUUGUUUCCAGCAAACAGUCCAGCAAAAAAGAACUACAGCUGUCUAACCUUGAGAUAAAUACUCAACUACCCCCCCCCCCUCCCCCUCCCCCCGCCCCUGAAUCAUUUUGACAUUUGAAUCUUCUUUGGGUGUUACCUUUAACUGAUAUAAUCAUGUCCUAGAUAUUCAGUUCAAUUCAGUAGAGUUUACAAGCUUGUUUAUAGGACCGAGAUAACCCAGUGAGGAAGAGAUGUGUGUCGUCAAUGUGUCAUCAAAAUAUAAAUGAUAAGCUGUAUUAUAUUUACUUUUGAUAAUGUUGCCAAGCGGAAGCAUGCAUAAAAAAAAGCAAAUGUCCAAGGACUGACCCUGGUGGUACCCCUGAGAAAAAAAUCAAUUUCAGCAAAUUGAAUUUGAUGAUCCUAUAUUUCACAUACAUUAGGAAGAAAACCUGUUAGAAUAGCCUGAUCUUUGUGAUUUAAAAUACCACAAUCACCUGUGUGAAAGGCAGCACUGGGGCCAAGGAAAACUAAAACGGAGAUCAGUGUUGAUACCUAGCCUCCCAGAAAUUACAUUUAUAUAACUACUAAUUUGCUUUGCCAGUAACAUUCCUACUGGCAGCUUGAGGUUACAUUAGCAACUGCGAGCAUAACUCAUCUCUGAAUCUCAUACUGAACUGGCAACCUUCGAGUUGCAUUGUGGGUAAAGUAGGCAGCAAGUUUUGACCAUAGACUGUAUAUAAAGAUGGAUGAUGCAUCUCGACUUCCCACCACUGAACAGAAGUGAAGCUAGAACCUCCUAGAUACAGCGGCUACCAUCUUGCUCUAGUGACAUCAUUCGGAGCCAGAGACUGCACAGUAGCGAUCUCCUUGGUAUCAAGUUUCCUGCCCAUACACCAAUUCAACCAAUGGUGAGCAGCUCCACUGUAUGUGAGCACACCAACUGGCUCACACAGUUGUCAAUCAUGUUGUAAAAUUCACAUUUUAUAGCAUAAAAUAACUAAUUAUAACCAAACUUAUUAGAAAAACUCACACUUGAACAUACAGCAGUGUGAUUAAAAAAUACUUUAAAUGACAGAAACCUUUGAAAAUCUUUGGGAAAAAUGUAUUAGAGUUUUUAGAUUGGACAUGAGAGAGUGCGCUUUAUGAGUUAUACUGCCGUCAGGAAACAAUACAAAUGUUAUGGCUUCACUUUUGGGGAGCUGUCAUGUCGUCCAACUUUAUAUACCGUCUAUAGUUUUGACAAGAAACUGAUAGCUACCUCUGGUUCUGUUGUCUGACAACAUCAUAGAAGAACGAUGCCAAAGUGGCGGAGUAUGUUUUUAAGUUAUGUUUUUCCGUCACUGGUGUUCUGAGUGUUGGGUUUCCACAACAAACGCACUUUGGUUAAGAUUAGGGAAAGGUUGUGGUUUCGGUAAAUGUUAAAAAAAAAAAAAAAGUGCAUGUCGUGUCUAAUGCUUUAAAAGAAUUGACAAAACGUAUUUGGUUUUUUUCAUUCAUAGUACAUAGACAGAAUUUCUAGGAAACACAGAGGGUUGAAAAAUGAAGCUAACACGCAAGUGCCAAAAACUGCAGUUCAUUAGAUGGCCACUUGAGGCUGGCUCCAUAACCGAGUCAAUCCCCAUAGACCCCCAUGUUAAAAUGCCCAGCUUAACAGCAGAAAUAAACAUGUUCACAACCUGGUACAAAAAACAGCUUUGGUCCCUACAGCUAAUUCCACGUUCAUGACAACUGUACAGGGGCUGAAUUUUUAUUUAACUGUCCCGUUUAAAUGUUCCUCCAGAGCUCCAUCCUCUCGUCCAAAUUUGGUCACAUCGAGCACCAAUAAUCCAAGAUGGUGAUGACCAAAAUGGUAAACUCAAGGCUUCAAAACAUAAGUACACAAACCAAUGGGUCGCUACAUCCAUUAUUUUGAUAUAGUCUGUGAUCUUAACCCAACUAGCACACGUCAAACACAAUGUGUAAUCUCAUAGACUGUAAUGAAAAUAACAGGACAGCUGUCUUGAUAUUUCUGCUAUACUGCUGGUGUGUUUUGGAACAGAAUGAUUCAACUGAGACACACAACUCAGUGAGAAUAGGCACCCUCCAGAGAUGAUAAACACUGCACUGGGACAUAGCAACUAAUUGUGUUCUACA